UGUUGGAUAGCUCCGUUGGUAGAGCACGAGACUCUUAAUCUCAGGGUCAUGGGUUCAAGCCCCACAUUGGGCAA